rnacentral:rRNA from 1 species
AGAGUUUGAUCCUGGCUCAGGAUGAACGCUAGCUACAGGCUUAACACAUGCAAGUCGAGGGGCAGCAUGGAAGAAGCUUGCUUCUUCUGAUGGCGACCGGCGCACGGGUGCGUAACGCGUAUCAAACCUGCCUCAUACUCGGGGAUAGCCUUGCGAAAGUAAGAUUAAUACCCGAUGUUGUUAUGUUACCGCAUGGUGAUAUAACCAAAGAUUUAUCGGUAUGAGAUGGUGAUGCGUCCGAUUAGGUAGUAGGCGGGGUAACGGCCCACCUAGCCUUCGAUCGGUAGGGGUUCUGAGAGGAAGGUCCCCCACACUGGAACUGAGACACGGUCCAGACUCCUACGGGAGGCAGCAGUGAGGAAUAUUGGUCAAUGGACGAAAGUCUGAACCAGCCAAGUAGCGUGCAGGAUGACGGCCCUCUGGGUUGUAAACUGCUUUUAGUUGGGAAUAAAAAAGAGGACGUGUCCUCUAUUGUAUGUACCUUCAGAAAAAGGACCGGCUAAUUCCGUGCCAGCAGCCGCGGUAAUACGGAAGGUCCAGGCGUUAUCCGGAUUUAUUGGGUUUAAAGGGAGCGUAGGCGGAUUAUUAAGUCAGUGGUGAAAGACGGUGGCUCAACCAUCGUUAGCCAUUGAAACUGGUAGUCUUGAGUGCAGACAGGGAUGCUGGAACUCGUGGUGUAGCGGUGAAAUGCUUAGAUAUCACGAUGAACUCCGAUCGCGAAGGCAGGUGUCCGGGCUGCAACUGACGCUGAGGCUCGAAAGUGUGGGUAUCAAACAGGAUUAGAUACCCUGGUAGUCCACACAGUAAACGAUGUAUACUCGCGGUUUGCGAUAGAAUGUAAGCCGCCAAGCGAAAGCAUUAAGUAUACCACCUGGGGAGUACGCCGGCAACGGUGAAACUCAAAGGAAUUGACGGGGGCCCG